AUCAAUAUAUCCAGUGAAGGAAUUUAGAGUAUGGACCCAUGCAUUAGGGAAAAUAUGUGCCUCAGAUACAAUUAUUUAGAGCUUUUGCAGUAAGCUGAAUGUUAUGUGCAUAGUGAGAUAAAAUGCUUCCUAAAUCUCACUGUGAUUGUUGCAUCUAGAGCACCAGCAAAUUUCCAACAUCCCAUCAAAAAGAAUAAUGUCCUGGUGUUCUCUAGUAUGAAGACAGAGUAUUAUAGUUAGAUAUUAAAUGUCUCCCAAAGCACAUGUUUGAAGGCUUGGUGACCAGCCUGUGGCACUAUUGGGACACGAGGAGACACUCCAGCCUUUAGGACUUGGAGUUGAGUAGGAAGAAGUUAGGCCAUCACUCUUUACUGCUAGGAAUGGACAGAAAUGCUGGACUGGGGGAAAGCCAUGCUGCAGCUUUCAGAAAAAGAAGACAGGAGGGAGGGAAGUUCAGGGGAAGCCUGCUGGGGGCCUGUUGGCUCCGGGGCUAGUGACAUUCCACUCUGGAGCUGCCCAUUAUCCAGAAUAUGUCGAGAAACUGCACAACUCCAUGUAACCUAAGUGUGCUAAGUUUGACAGAACCAUUUCCUCCUAAGGAAUGUCCUGUUCAUAAUGUCUUAUUGAGGUGAAGCUACUCAGGUUGAGGGAGGUCUUAGGGGUGAGAAGGGCCUUGCCCAACAGUAUAUAAGAUUGAC
rnacentral:lncRNA from 1 species